GUGGGUGUAGCUCAGUGGUAGAGUGCAUGCUCAGCAUGUGCUAGGUCCUGGGUUCAAUCCCCAGCACCUCCA
rnacentral:tRNA from 1 species